UUGAAGAGUUUGAUCAUGGCUCAGAUUGAACGCUGGCGGCAGGCCUAACACAUGCAAGUCGAACGGUAACAGGAAGCAGCUUGCUGCUUCGCUGACGAGUGGCGGACGGGUGAGUAAUGUCUGGGAAACUGCCCGAUGGAGGGGGAUAACUACUGGAAACGGUAGCUAAUACCGCAUAACGUCGCAAGACCAAAGAGGGGGACCUUCGGGCCUCUUGCCAUCGGAUGUGCCCAGAUGGGAUUAGCUUGUUGGUGAGGUAACGGCUCACCAAGGCGACGAUCCCUAGCUGGUCUGAGAGGAUGACCAGCCACACUGGAACUGAGACACGGUCCAGACUCCUACGGGAGGCAGCAGUGGGGAAUAUUGCACAAUGGGCGCAAGCCUGAUGCAGCCAUGCCGCGUGUAUGAAGAAGGCCUUCGGGUUGUAAAGUACUUUCAGCGGGGAGGAAGGGGUUAAGGUUAAUAACCUUAGCCAUUGACGUUACCCGCAGAAGAAGCACCGGCUAACUCCGUGCCAGCAGCCGCGGUAAUACGGAGGGUGCAAGCGUUAAUCGGAAUUACUGGGCGUAAAGCGCACGCAGGCGGUCUGUCAAGUCGGAUGUGAAAUCCCCGGGCUCAACCUGGGAACUGCAUUCGAAACUGGCAGGCUUGAGUCUCGUAGAGGGGGGUAGAAUUCCAGGUGUAGCGGUGAAAUGCGUAGAGAUCUGGAGGAAUACCGGUGGCGAAGGCGGCCCCCUGGACGAAGACUGACGCUCAGGUGCGAAAGCGUGGGGAGCAAACAGGAUUAGAUACCCUGGUAGUCCACGCCGUAAACGAUGUCUAUUUGGAGGUUGUGCCCUUGAGGCGUGGCUUCCGGAGCUAACGCGUUAAAUAGACCGCCUGGGGAGUACGGCCGCAAGGUUAAAACUCAAAUGAAUUGACGGGGGCCCGCACAAGCGGUGGAGCAUGUGGUUUAAUUCGAUGCAACGCGAAGAACCUUACCUGGUCUUGACAUCCACAGAAUUUCUCAGAGAUGAGGAAGUGCCUUCGGGAACUGUGAGACAGGUGCUGCAUGGCUGUCGUCAGCUCGUGUUGUGAAAUGUUGGGUUAAGUCCCGCAACGAGCGCAACCCUUAUCCUUUGUUGCCAGCGAUUCGGUCGGGAACUCAAAGGAGACUGCCAGUGAUAAACUGGAGGAAGGUGGGGAUGACGUCAAGUCAUCAUGGCCCUUACGACCAGGGCUACACACGUGCUACAAUGGCAUAUACAAAGAGAAGCGACCUCGCGAGAGCAAGCGGACCUCAUAAAGUAUGUCGUAGUCCGGAUUGGAGUCUGCAACUCGACUCCAUGAAGUCGGAAUCGCUAGUAAUCGUGGAUCAGAAUGCCACGGUGAAUACGUUCCCGGGCCUUGUACACACCGCCCGUCACACCAUGGGAGUGGGUUGCAAAAGAAGUAGGUAGCUUAACCUUCGGGAGGGCGCUUACCACUUUGUGAUUCAUGACUGGGGUGAAGUCGUAACAAGGUAACCGUAGGGGAACCUGCGGUUGGAUCACCUCCUU
rnacentral:rRNA from 1 species